rnacentral:tRNA from 1 species
GUUCUUAUGGUGUAUAUAGCACAUUAGAUUUUCAAUCUUUUAGUACACUAUCUGAGUUAUUAGUGUUAAGAACG